UACGGAGGGUGCGAGCGUUGUCCGGAAUCACUGGGCGUAAAGGGCGCGUAGGCGGCCCGUCAAGCGCGCGGUGAAAGCCCGGGGCUCAACCCCGGGUCGGCCGUGCGGACUGGGGGGCUCGAGCACUGUAGGGGCGGGUGGAAUUCCGGGUGUAGCGGUGGAAUGCGUAGAGAUCCGGAAGAACACCGGUGGCGAAGGCGGCCCGCUGGGCAGGAAGACGGUUGCGAGACGUCGGCUGACGCUGAGGAGCGAAAGCAUGGGUAGCGAACAGG
rnacentral:rRNA from 1 species